CCUACGGGUGGCAGCAGUGAGGAAUAUUGGUCAAUGGGCGGAAGCCUGAACCAGCCAAGUAGCGUGAAGGAUGACGGCCCUACGGGUUGUAAACUGCUUUUAUAGGGGAAUAACGCGCCUUACGUGUAGGGCUUUGCAUGUACCCUAUGAAUAAGGACCGGCUAAUUCCGUGCCAGCAGCCGCGGUAAUACGGAAGGUCCGGGCGUUAUCCGGAUUUACUGGGUUUAAAGGGGGCGUAGGCCGCAUGUCAAGGGUGCAGGGAAAUGUCCGGGCUCAACCCGGGCCUUGCAGCGGAAACUGGCGUGCUUGAGUCAGCGGAAAGCAGGCGGAAUUCGUCGUGUAGCGGUGAAAUGCUUAGAUAUGACGAAGAACCCCGAUUGCGAAGGCAGCUUGCUGCAGCGGAACUGACGCUGAUGCUCGAAAGCGCGGGUAUCGAACAGGAUUAGAUACCCGUGUAGUC
rnacentral:rRNA from 1 species